GAUAAAGUGGCUGAAGUAUUAGGUAAUAAAUUGUAAAUUUAUUUAUGGUUGUAAACCCUUUAUCA
rnacentral:tRNA from 1 species